rnacentral:snoRNA from 1 species
UUGCACCUUCCAAUAACGAAAGUUUCACCUGCUUGUUAUGGUGGUGUGACUUUUAUUGUUGGUGCGGAAAGGAAAAGCUGUCUUUGACAGCAGCGGCCAGACAACCGUAGGGAUGGAUCCACAGGUGAAUGGGUUGAAUUCCAUUUGUCUACUGAUUCCAUCUCACAUUA